UGCAGGUGAGCNAACGACCCGUUAUCAUUGC
rnacentral:piRNA from 1 species